rnacentral:rRNA from 1 species
GACGAACGCUGGCGGCGUGCUUAACACAUGCAAGUCGAGCGGUAAGGCCUUUCGGGGUACACGAGCGGCGAACGGGUGAGUAACACGUGGGUGAUCUGCCCUGCACUUCGGGAUAAGCCUGGGAAACUGGGUCUAAUACCGGAUAUGACCUCCUAUCGCAUGGUGGGUGGUGGAAAGAUUUAUCGGUGCAGGAUGGGCCCGCGGCCUAUCAGCUUGUUGGUGGGGUAAUGGCCUACCAAGGCGACGACGGGUAGCCGACCUGAGAGGGUGACCGGCCACACUGGGACUGAGACACGGCCCAGACUCCUACGGGAGGCAGCAGUGGGGAAUAUUGCACAAUGGGCGAAAGCCUGAUGCAGCGACGCCGCGUGAGGGAUGACGGCCUUCGGGUUGUAAACCUCUUUCAGCAGGGACGAAGCGCAAGUGACGGUACCUGCGGAAGAAGCACCGGCUAACUACGUG